GGAAAGGUUUGGUUUACAUAGUCUGGACUCUGAAGUGUUUCUGUUUAUACUAAUUUUCCAAAUAAACGCUGUGGAACUAAGAAGAUGAGGUGUGGACAGAGAGCUCCAGACUGACUUGUGAAGUCUUGAAUCACAGUUCCAGAAUGAAUGAGCUGAAAGAAAAUUCUGUACAUGAAGAUCAACAUGAAGAUGAAC